rnacentral:rRNA from 1 species
UACAGAGGUCUCAAGCGUUGUUCGGAUUCAUUGGGCGUAAAGGGUGCGUAGGCGGCGCGGUAAGUCGGGUGUUAAAUCUUGGAGCUUAACUCCGAAACUGCAUUCGAUACUGCCGUGCUUGAGGACUGGAGAGGAGACUGGAAUUUACGGUGUAGCGGUGAAAUGCGCAGAUAUCGUAAGGAAGACCAGUGGCGAAGGCGGGUCUCUGGACAGUUCCUGACGCUGAGGCACGAAGGCCAGGGGAGCAAACGGG